AAAAAGUUAAAUUGGAAUAUAACUCUUUGACUCUCAGGAUGAAUCAGAACUUUCUAUUAACUAGAAAGCUGAUAUAGUACUAUAGUUUCUGAUUACCCUCUCACACAUUCAUUUCGAGACUUGCCCAAUAUCUUUCCUCUUUUCAUUCCCUAUGGUUCAGUCAUAAAGGAGAAGUCUCUCUCUUUCACUCUUUCUCUAACUUUCAUUCUUCCACUCUCCUUUGCUGUGUCUCCAUCUGCCUCCAUUUCUCUGUCUCAGUCACUUCUCUAUACACCUUCCUUCCUUCCUUCCUCUCUCCCUUCCUUCCUCCUUCCCUCCCUCCCUCCCUUCCUUCCUCCUUUCCUUCCUUCAUUCUUUCCUUCCUCCAUCUCUCCCUCCUUUUCUUCCUCUCUCCCUCCCUUUCUCCUUCCCUCCCUCUCUUCCUUCCUUCCCUCCUUCCUUCCUUCCCUCCCUCCUUCCUUCCUUCCUUCCUUCUUUCCUUCCUUCCUUCCUUCCUUCCUUCCUUCUUUCCUUCCUUCCUUCCUUCCUUUUCUUCCUUUUUUCCUUCUUUCCUUCCUUCCUUCUUUCCUUCCUUCCUUCCUUCCUUCCUUCCUUCCUUCCUUCCUUCCUUCCUUUCUUCUUUCCUUCCUUCCUUCCAUUCUUUCUUUCAUCAUCACUGAUGCAUCUCUUUCCCCCUCCACCAAACACACUUUAUUCUCUCACCUUGAUAUCCUUUUUUUUUUAUUUCCUUCCUUUUCUCAGUCUCCUAGGAUUUCUUUAACUUCCUGUAGAAGUAGCUAUAGGAUGAGAGGAAGCCAGAACUUCUGUUCUCAGAUAGGAAUAUCUUCUUCUAUAUCUACCUUGUAUUUAUUAUUUAUUUAUUCAAUACGUACUGGCAUAUACUCUCAUUAAAAUGUAAGUUCACUGAAGGAAAUCAUUCUUUCAUUUCUACUUCUAACACAGUAUUGGCCAUUUGUGUAAUGUUUUUACAUCCAUUUAGUUGAUUGCAUUUCCUCUUCCUCAUGAGAAUGUAAGCUCCUGUUGCAUAGGGCAUAGAUUAUUUGUUUAUUAUUUUUGUCUUUAUCUGCAUCCCCAUCAAUUAGAACAGUGUCUGGCUCAUCAUCAUCACUUAAUAGAUAACCACAGAAGGCUAUUGUUAUAAUCAAAUGAGAUCUUGUAUUAAAUAGCAUUUUGGUUGUUUCUUUUUUACUUGUUUAUUUUUCAGUUUACUAAGUGUAUCAAUAUUGAUUGAUUUUGUCGGGUUUUAUUGUACCAAUAUUUUCACCAGUCUCAGAAACUCCCACAUUUGGAAAUUUCCUCUUUUAGUGAAGAUCUAUAACUGGGUUGGAAUGUAUAUUCUUUUAGAGGUGUCCUAUGCACUGAAAAGAUAUGCCAGUGACAUUCAUGGUGAUAUGGUAAUGAUCAAAAAGAAAGGCUCAAAAUCAUGUUUCACCAACUUCAAAAUGAACAUUCUAUCCGCCAAAAAUCAUGCUUCCAUCCAUGAUCUAUUAGUAAAUUGUUAAUUAUAUGCAUAAGAAGACUCCCCUUAUUAUUAGUGUAGUGGUAUCAGAUGAAUAAUCCAUUAUUCUGGAGGUCUGGGCUAGGAAGUAGUGAAAUAAACCUACUUACUUCCUGUUCAAAUUUGAAAUAAAUUCAAAUUUCUUCAGACAACAAUUUUCCCCCUUUCCAUUACUUUUCAUUUUCUGCCCUUCCUAGCUCCAGCUGGUACCAAACAUGUGGCAGUGCCAAAGAUCUCAAAAAAAAAUCUGCUGUUGAAUGAUUUCUGCCUGGACCACAAGCAGAUGUCUUGGAAUCUUUCCAAAU
ensembl:lncRNA